UCCCUCUCAGUAUCACACCUGGAGAGUUUCCAGUACUCUACCCGUCUUGGUUAUGGGAAGAAGAGUCAAGCAGAGGCAUACCCAUUCCAACCCUAGCUUGGCCAGUGGCUAGUGAGUAGAAGGCAAUCUGCUACAGGU